rnacentral:tRNA from 1 species
GGUGGCUCAGUGGUAGAGUGCUUGCCUUGCACGCAUGAGUCACUGGGUUCGAUUCCUUAGCACCA